CAAUAGCGUAUAUUAAAGUUGUUGCGGUUAAAAAGCUCGUAGUUGGAUUUCUGCUGAGAACGACCGGUCCGCCCUUUGGGUGUGUAUCUGGCUCUUUCUUGGCAUCUUCUUGGUGAACGUUGCUGCACUUGACUGUGUGGAGCGCUACCCAGGACUUUUACUUUGAGGAAAUUAGAGUGUUUCAAGCAGGCAUACGCCUUGAAUACAUUAGCAUGGAAUAAUAAGAUAGGACCUCGGUUCUAUUUUGUUGGUUUCUAGAGCUGAGGUAAUGAUUAAUAGGGAUAGUUGGGGGCAUUCGUAUUUAACUGUCAGAGGUGAAAUUCUUGGAUUGGUCAACGACGAACUACUGCGAAAGCAUUUGCCAAGGAUGUUUUCAUUGA
rnacentral:rRNA from 1 species